rnacentral:misc_RNA from 1 species
GAUGAAGAACGUAGCGAAAUGCGAUACUUGGUGUGAAUUGCAGAAUCCCGUGAACCAUCGAGUCUUUGAACGCAAGUUGCGCCUCAAGCCAUUAGGUUGAGGGCACGUCUGCCUGGGCGUCACAUAUCGUUGCCUGAUGCCAGUUUCCUCGUGAUGGGUGACUGUGCAGGGCGAAUGAUGGCUUCCCGUGAGCAUUGUUGCCUCAUGGUUGGUUGAAAAUUGAGUCCUUGGUAGGGAGCGCCGUGAUAGAUGGUGGUUGAGUGACGAACGAGACCCAAUCAUGUGAGACCCCUACCGAAUUUGGCCUUCAUGACCCACAUGCGUCUUUGGAACGCUCAUGACGAGACCUCAGGUCAGACGGGGCUACCCGCUGAGUUUAAGCAUAUCAAUAAGCGGAGGA